ensembl:lncRNA
UGUGUAUUUAUGACGACGAUUUGUGAGACUGGUAAACUUAUGAUACGUACGAUGGUCUUUCGUUCUACACGGUGCAUUUCAAGGUCCUGCACCCAUCCGUCGGUAAACUGUACCUGGGCUUGUUGCAGUGACCGGAAGUUACUAAACUUCAUGAGUGUGUGCACUCACUCCAAGAACCGUAUAAUUAUAAAUAUGCAUAUAAAUAUGCUACGAUGAGAUAGCUGACUUCAUCUAACUAGCAAAUGUUGUCCAGGCUACGUUGGUGAUACAGUUUUUUUUAAUAUGUAUGAUAUUUUUGUCAUGCGAUUUUAAAGCCGGUCCUACAACCGCAUCCAAGAAUAACAUGCAGCUUAUCUCAGAACUGUCGGUGAAAAUUAUUCUUGGAGCUAGGUUUAAUUGAGCUGCAUUUUAAAGAGGUGCAAUUUCACAAUUUGUGUAUAUUUUCUAAGUUCACUAUUUUGUCAUGUGUUGAGAAAAACACAGAUUUAAAAAUUACAUGGUCUAAUAUUUACAUUUAGCAUAACUGCAACAUGCUUUUUUCUUUUUUUUUUUAAAGACUCGAAAGGACUUGAAAUUCAAAAUUUCAGACUUGUGACUUGACUCGGACUUUUACACCAGUGACUUGAGACUCGACUCUGACUUGCCUGACAUUACUUGAGACUUGACUUGAGACUUGAGGAUUAAGACUUGAGACUUACUUGAGACUUGCAAAACAAUGACUUGGUCCCACCUCUGUUUAUAUCUUUGUAAGAGUCUAAGAAGGGUGACUUUUUAUGGUUAAGUUUUCAACCAAAUGUAGACACCAUGACUGACCAAACAGAAUUAGCCCAGGAAACAUUGUCUGUAAACAUUCAUCUUUAGAAAUGUCUUGUUCCCUCUACCCUGCAGUCCUUAAUCUAAAUUUUCUUUUUUCCCCAUAGAAGCUGCAGAAAGAUGCAUUCUUCAUCUUUUACACAAAUAUUGUGUACAGUUACACUUCUGCAGUUGCAGUGUACGGGUGUUACUUUGUAGCAUCUUGGUGUCUUUUGCAUGUACCUUAAUGAAGAC